AUCUUCUUUCAAUAUCAUAUUAUCCAACUUCAGCAUUGGUUCUUCACUGCACAGUUCAAAUGAGUCAAACAUUUUAGAUUUUAUUUUUCAAUUUUGUCAUCAAUUCAUUACAGCCUGAAAAUUUACCAUUAGUCCAAUAUAAUGUUAAUCAAUUUGGUUCUUUGAAAGCAAAUAAAAGUCCAUACUUUGCUUUACCACUUGAAGGUUCCGAAUUAGGACUUAGGCUGUGUAAAGUAGUUUUGAGAUAUUUUACAGUAUGAAAAUCUAUGUCUUUUUUUUAAUGUUUUUGUGAUUGUAGAACAAAGUGAAAGCAAGAGUAUAAUAGUUCUAGUAGUUGUGCCAAUCAUAUCAGUAUUAAUCUUCUUGGCUUCGAGCAGCUUUUUUAUCAUUAGAAAUGUAAAAAGAAGAGCUAAAGGAAAGGGGAAGGCCUUUAAUAACACUAGAGUGAAGCAUAGAGUGAAGCGGUCGAUUAAGGUGCCAACGAUUAGUAACAAGCUAGCAGAUAUGAUGAUUAUUCAUGGAGGAAAUAUGGCCAAAAGCCAAUCAAAGGUUCUCCACACCCAAGAUAAUUGAAGUCAUAUCGGGUUGAAAGCUAAGCGAUUGUGUAGAGAUUGCCAAGCGACCGUUGAAAAUUGAAGACUGAGAAGGCAUUUAGGA